AACCUGCGGAAGGAUCAUUAUAGUAUUCUAUUGCCAGCGCUUAAUUGCGCGGCGAUAAACCUUACACACAUUGUCUAAGUUUUUUUGAACUUUGCUUUGGGUGGUGAGCCUCGGCUUACUCGCCCAAAGGUCUAAACACAUUUUUUUUAAUGUUAAAACCUUUAACCAAUAGUCAUGAAAAUUUUUAACAAAAAUUAAAAUCUUCAAAACUUUCAACAACGGAUCUCUUGGUUCUCGCAACGAUGAAGAACGCAGCGAAAUGCGAUACGUAUUGUGAAUUGCAGAUUUUCGUGAAUCAUCGAAUCUUUGAACGCACAUUGCACCCUCUGGUAUUCCAGAGGGUAUGCCUGUUUGAGCGUCAUUUCUCUCUCAAACCUUCGGGUUUGGUAUUGAGUGAUACUCUGUCAAGGGUUAACUUGAAAUAUUGACUUAGCAAGAGUGUACUAAUAAGCAGUCUUUCUGAAAUAAUGUAUUAGGUUCUUCCAACUCGUUAUAUCAGCUAGGCAGGUUUAGAAGUAUUUUAGGCUCGGCUUAACAACAAUAAACUAAAAGUUUGACCUCAAAUCAGGUAGGACUACCCGCUGAACUUAAGCAUACGGGGG
rnacentral:rRNA from 1 species